rnacentral:rRNA from 1 species
GACGAACGCUGGCGGCGUGCUUAACACAUGCAAGUCGAACGGAAAGGCCCUGCUUUUGUGGGGUGCUCGAGUGGCGAAAGGAUGAGUAACACGUGAGUAACCUGCCCUUGACUUUGGGAUAACUUCAGGAAACUGGGGCUAAUACCGGAUAGGAGCUCCUGCUGCAUGGUGGGGGUUGGAAAUUUUCGGCGGUUGGGGAUGGACUCGCGGCUUAUCAGCUUGUUGGUGGGGUCGUGGCUUACCAAGGCUUGGACGGGUAGCCGGCCUGAGAGGGUGACCGGCCACAUUGGGACUGAGAUACGGCCCAGACUCCUACGGGAGGCAGCAGUGGGGAAUAUUGCACAAUGGGCGGAAGCCUGAUGCAGCAACGCCGCGUGCGGGAUGACGGCCUUCGGGUUGUAAACCGCUUUCGCCUGUGACGAAGCGUGAGUGACGGUAAUGGGUAAAGAAGCACCGGCUAACUACGUG